rnacentral:lncRNA from 10 species
GGCAGCUUUGUUUACCUACUCACAGCUUGGCAAUGGCAGGCGCCCCUCCCCCAGCCUGGCUGCCGCCUUGCAGUUUGAUCUCAGACUGCCCUGCUAGCAAUCAGCGAGACUCCGUGGGCGUAGGACCCUCCGAGCCAGGUGCGGGAUAUAGUCUCCUGGUGCGCCGUUUCCUAAGCCCGUCGGAAAAGUGCAGUAUUAGGUUGGGAGUGACCAGAUUUUCCAGGUGCCGUCUGUCACCCCUUUCCUUGACCAGGAAAGGGAACUCCCUGACCCCUUGCACUUCCUGAGUGAGGCAAUGCCUCGCCCUGCUUGGGCUCAUGCACAGUGCGCGGCACCCACUGUCCUGCGCCCACUGUCUGGCACUCCCUAGUGAGAUGAACCUGGUACCUCAGAGGGAAAUGCAGAAAUCACCCAUCUUCUGUGUCACUCACGCUGGGAGCUGUAGACCGGAGCUGUUCCUAUUCGGCCAUCUUGGCUCCCUUAAACUGAUCCUCUUAAACACAGGCAUCUUCAAAUUCAGAGAAUCCUUCUGGAUUUUUGGACUUUUUUCUCCCUCAACGUGGAUUAAAUGUUGGACUUUUCUCACUCAACUUGGAUUGAAUGUUGUCAUAGAGAUCUAACAGCAAGUGAACUAAUGCUGAUUCAAAGACACCAAGAGAGGGGGCGAAAUGGAAGGUGUGAAAUCACAGAAACCAAGGGAAUGAAAAACUGCAAAUAAAUAAGCCAUCACUUGAUAUCCUGCUACAUCUCCAGGAAUAAAAAGCUGGAAAUAAAUAAGCCAGCCAAGAAGAUUGAUACAUGACUGGAGCCUGAAUGGUAGAACUUUUUCAGAAGUGAGGAGUCUGUUGGCCCAGAAGAUCUGCGGUAAGAUCUGCCUCAACAUACCUUACUCAUUUUUUUCAAAGAGACUCUAGAGUCUAAAAUGAACAACCAAUCAAUUCUACAAACAUUGCAUCAUGAGGAGUUGCUGCACCUCUUCUCCAGGAUUUGCAAAACGUGUAGUCCAAAUCGAGUUCGGCUAGAACUGGUCUGUCAUCAAGAUAUGGCUCAUGAAAGAGAUUGGUGUUUAGGAGGCUGGGAAAAGGAAAUAUUUUGAGAGACUUCAUGUGCUCCGCACAUGGAGGUGGCUUCCUUUUGCCUCAGGUGAAGGGAGCUUCAACAAGAUCACUCAGAGUUUGAUCAAUGAUCUUAGAAUUUGCAGAACAUAGGGACUGCCAUUUGACUCACCCUUUAGAAGUCAGGAGGAAAGGUUACGUGGCUGGCACUUCUCAUGUCUGGGAAGGAACAACUGUGAAGUGCUGACCUAGACGAAUGUUGCACUUCCGCUGAUGAGUAGGCAAUGGCGAAUGUUUUCCAGGGUCCAAAUGUGGACCCGGCAACAGAGAGGCUGUCUGUAAUCACUUUAUAAGAGACACUAACAACAAUGACCACUGGGACUAAAGAGAGCACAACGGAAGUAGUUCUGCCAGAAGGGCUGAGGAGAGGGCUGAGCAACCACCCUCAGGGGAGGCAGACCCACAUCAAAGACAUCUCAGCAGUCCCUUUCCCAUGAAAGAAAGAGCUAGAAAUUGUCCAUUUGACACACACACAAACCAGAUCCCAGAUUGCAAUUGAUUCAGAUAAUGAAAAGCUUGUUCUUUUCACUUGCUGUUCUAGCCUAACCAUGUAGGUGUCAGAAGCAGUUGUAGGCUAGGAGAGAAGUCGGAGCAAUACAGAAGCCAGUUCUGCCUUUGCCUCAAGAUCCACUGUCCACUCAGAGGCAGGCUGGCACAUGGGGGAUGAGAACAUUCCAAGAAAGAUGUGAAUCUGGAAUUUUCAUUUAUGCAGUAGAUGGGGAUUUACUACUGAAAGGAACAUGUUUUGGCAACUAAUAGUGACCAAAAGAAUUUGUACUUACUAAAAAUUAUCUUAAAAGCAUGGGAUUACCCUAGCAUUUUGUUUCAGAAACUGAAAUUAACAGAAAACUAUAAAAUUACUUUCUGCCUGAAACCUAAGAAGGUGAACUCAUGCCAGAAACCAGUUACAUUCACAAUUACCUGGAUUUUGUUAUUUCCUACAAUGAAUAAAACUUAUUAUAAAGCAGAAAAGC